UUUUUGAUUUCCCUACUAAUU
rnacentral:piRNA from 1 species